rnacentral:lncRNA from 1 species
CUCAAUGGUGAUAGCACAUGGAUUUUUAAUGCCCUCUAGCCAUUGAUGCUGCUCUUCUCGAUCCUCCUUGGAGUCUUGGUGACUCUUAUGAAUGGGAUGUCUACAUAGAUUCAUAGGAUUAUCGGGAGGUUCAAGAGAAAGAGCGUAGUAUUAAUUAUUAGGCUCAAGGAUGGGUUUGAUAGCCGAAUCAAGGGAUUGAAGUGUUUGGAAAUUGGAUAUGAAGACUAGUACAAGAAGGAUGUCCACGAAUGAAGACAUACCUUCCUUUACUAAUAGAUAAAGAAAGAAAGACUCUACCAAAGGUUAUAUGAUUAAGACCAAUGUGAAAAUAUCGAGAAAAACAUGGUCUUGUAGGGCUAGGUCUAAACCAGAAUUUAUAGAAAGAUUAAAAGAUUCCCUAGGUGUAGCUAAAAGUUCAUUAUCUUCUUGAUUAAAAGAUAGGACCUCAGCUAUAGAAAAGGGUUGGUUUUGACCUAUUGCAAUCAACUCCGGACACAGAUCAUAAUUAGGGGCAGGACUUGUUGACUCCCAUGGUCUAUGGCUGGUCUCCGAAGGUGCAAAGAAUUCAAUAAUAGGUAUGGAAUUUGAGUUAUCCACAAAGAUAGAAAAAAUAAAAAGAUAAAAGAAUAAAAGUAUAAAAGUAUAAUACAAGAUAAUAGCAAGACUUAAAGUUAUCUCAGCAAACCGUCUUUCUCCCCGGCAACGGCACCAGAAAUGCUUGUUGAUAUUUGGAAACGCAAUAAGGAAAUGAUCCGCAAGCGCACGG